rnacentral:rRNA from 1 species
UAAGCAGUGAGGUGGUCAUGUAGGCAAAUCCGCAUGGCAUAACAUUGAGCUGUGAUGCCGAAGCCGUAUGGCGAAGUCAACUGAUGUCACGCUUCCAAGAAAAGCUUCUAGGGUUAAUUUAGUAAGUGCCCGUACCGAUAACCGACACAGGUAGGCGAGGAGAGAAUCCUAAGAUGAGCGAGGGAACUCUUGUUAAGGAACUCGGCAAAAUGACCCCGUAACUGCGGGAGAAGGGGUGCUUGUGAAAGCAAGCCGCAGUGAAUAGGCCCAGGCGACUGUUUAUCAAAAACACAGGUCUCUGCUAAACCGCAAGGUGAUGUAUAGGGGCUGACGCCUGCCCGGUGCUGGAAGGUUAAGAGGAGAGGUUAGCGCAAGCGAAGCUUUGAAUUGAAGCCCCAGUAAACGGCGGCCGUAACAAUAACGGUCCUAAGGUAGCGAAAUUCCUUGUCGGGUAAGUUCCGACCCGCACGAAAGGCGUAACGAUCUGGGCGCUGUCUCAACAAGAGACUCGGUGAAAUCAUAGUACCUGUGAAGAUGCAGGUUACCCGCGACAGGACGGAAAGACCCCGUGGAGCUUUACUGUAGCUUGAUAUUGAGCACUGGUGACACAUGUACAGGAUAGGUAGGAGACGAAGAAGCCAGGACGCCAGUCUUGGUGGAGUCGCUGUUGGGAUACUACCCUUGUGUUACUGGGGUUCUAACCCGUGGCCAUGAUCUGGUCAGGGAACAGUGUCAGGUGGGCAGUUUGACUGGGGCGGUCGCCUCCCAAAGAGUAACGGAGGCGCCCAAAGGUUCCCUCAGAAUGGUUGGAAAUCAUUCGAAGAGUGUAAAGGCAGAAGGGAGCUUGACUGCGAGACCUACAAGUCGAGCAGGGACGAAAGUCGGGCUUAGUGAUCCGGCGGUACCGAAUGGAAGGGCCGUCGCUCAACGGAUAAAAGCUACCCCGGGGAUAACAGGCUGAUCUCCCCCAAGAGUUCACAUCGACGGGGAGGUUUGGCACCUCGAUGUCGGCUCAUCGCACCCUGGGGCUGUAGUCGGUCCCAAGGGUUGGGCUGUUCGCCCAUUAAAGCGGUACGCGAGCUGGGUUCAGAACGUCGUGAGACAGUUCGGUCCCUAUCCGUCGUGGGCGUAGGAAAUUUGAGAGGAGCUGUCCUUAGUACGAGAGGACCGGGAUGGACACACCGCUGGUGUACCAGUUGUUCUGCCAGGAGCAUAGCUGGGUAGCUACGUGUGGACGGGAUAAACGCUGAAAGCAUCUAAGCGUGAAGCCCCCCUCAAGAUGAGAUUUCCCAUUCGAAAGAAGUAAGAUCCCUUGAAGACGACAAGGUAGAUAGGUCAGAAGUGGAAGUGUGGUGACACAUGGAGCGGACUGAUACUAAUCGAUCGAGGACUUAAUC